UGGGGAAUUUUGGACAAUGGGCGAAAGCCUGAUCCAGCAAUGCCGCGUGUGUGAAGAAGGCCUUCGGGUUGUAAAGCACUUUUGUCCGGAAAGAAAUCCUUGGCUCUAAUACAGUCGGGGGAUGACGGUACCGGAAGAAUAAGCACCGGCUAACUACGUGCCAGCAGCCGCGGUAAUACGUAGGGUGCAAGCGUUAAUCGGAAUUACUGGGCGUAAAGCGUGCGCAGGCGGUUUGCUAAGACCGAUGUGAAAUCCCGGGCUCAACCUGGGAACUGCAUUGGUGACUGGCAGGCUAGAGUAUGGCAAGAGGGGGGUUAGAAUUCCACGUGUAGCAGUGAAAUGCGUAGAGAUGUGGAGGAAUACCGAUGGCG
rnacentral:rRNA from 1 species